rnacentral:rRNA from 1 species
GAUGAACGCUGGCGGCGUGCCUAAUACAUGCAAGUCGAGCGAACGGACGAGAAGCUUGCUUCUCUGAUGUUAGCGGCGGACGGGUGAGUAACACGUGGAUAACCUACCUAUAAGACUGGGAUAACUUCGGGAAACCGGAGCUAAUACCGGAUAAUAUUUUGAACCGCAUGGUUCAAAAGUGAAAGACGGUCUUGCUGUCACUUAUAGAUGGAUCCGCGCUGCAUUAGCUAGUUGGUAAGGUAACGGCUUACCAAGGCAACGAUGCAUAGCCGACCUGAGAGGGUGGUCGGCCACACUGGAACUGAGACACGGUCCAGACUCCUACGGGAGGCCGCAGUAGGGAAUCUUCCGCAAAGGUCGAAAGUCUUACGGAGCAACGCCGCGUGAGUGAUGAAGGUCUUCGGAUCGUAAAAAUCUGUUAUUAGGGAAGAACAUAUGUGUAAGGAACUGUGCACAUCUUGACGGUACCUAAUCAGAAAGCCACGGCUAACUACGUG